CCCCAAUAUCAACUUAUGCCUUUGGAUGAUGCUCCUUCUCUUCUAGUGCACGGCGUCCUCAUUAGCAAUCCUGCAUAUAUGAUUUGCAACAUCCUGGUGGAUAUCUAUUGCAUCUUGGAACAAAUUGAUAAGUUGUUCUUUGCCUAAUAGUUUAAGAAGCUUCUCUAUAAGUUCAUCAUCUUCAUCAUAUUCACCGUCACCAGCCUGAUUAUGAUAUGAUGAGAUCUGAUUCUGAUUAUUCCGUUGGGAAUAAUCUUCUUCUUCAUCAUUGUCAUUAUCAUUGUUAUUCUCUUCUUUUACGUCGGUAAUAGUGUUAAAAAUGUGGUAUAUAUUACAAAAUGAGGGAAAAAUCAAUCAAGAUUCAAAGGUUAGGUUAAUGCUUCUUUAGUGAGUAUGUGGAUGAAUCUAAGUUUAAGGUUUUGGG
rnacentral:misc_RNA from 1 species